rnacentral:rRNA from 1 species
UACGAAGGGGGCUAGCGUUGUUCGGAUUUACUGGGCGUAAAGCGCACGUAGGCGGAUUGUUAAGUCAGGGGUGAAAUCCUGGAGCUCAACUCCAGAACUGCCUUUGAUACUGGCAAUCUUGAGUCCGGAAGAGGUGAGUGGAACUCCUAGUGUAGAGGUGGAAUUCGUAGAUAUUAGGAAGAACACCAGUGGCGAAGGCGGCUCACUGGUCCGGUACUGACGCUGAGGUGCGAAAGCUAGGGGAGCAAACGGG